rnacentral:snoRNA from 1 species
GGUGCUUCCCACAGGCUGUGUUCUUACCCUGACUACCUCAUACGCACCUCAGCCUAACCCUGCGGAUGGUCUGUAUUGUGAAUGGGGAGACACGG